UACGUAGGGUGCAAGCGUUGUCCGGAAUUAUUGGGCGUAAAGAGCUCGUAGGCGGUUUGUCGCGUCUGCUGUGAAAACCCGAGGCUCAACCUCGGGCCUGCAGUGGGUACGGGCAGACUAGAGUGCGGUAGGGGAGAUUGGAAUUCCUGGUGUAGCGGUGAAAUGCGCAGAUAUCAGGAGGAACACCGGUGGCGAAGGCGGGUCUCUGGGCAUUAACUGACGCUGAGGAGCGAAAGCAUGGGGAGCGAACAGG
rnacentral:rRNA from 1 species